rnacentral:rRNA from 1 species
GGGUUGUGAGGUUAAGCGACUAAGCGUACACGGUGGAUGCCCUGGCAGUCAGAGGCGAUGAAGGACGUGCUAAUCUGCGAUAAGCGUCGGUAAGGUGAUAUGAACCGUUAUAACCGGCGAUUUCCGAAUGGGGAAACCCAGUGUGUUUCGACACACUAUCAUUAACUGAAUCCAUAGGUUAAUGAGGCGAACCGGGGGAACUGAAACAUCUAAGUACCCCGAGGAAAAGAAAUCAACCGAGAUUCCCCCAGUAGCGGCGAGCGAACGGGGAGCAGCCCAGAGCCUGAAUCAGUGUGUGUGUUAGUGGAAGCGUCUGGAAAGGCGCGCGAUACAGGGUGACAGCCCCGUACACAAAAAUGCACAUGCUGUGAGCUCGAUGAGUAGGGCGGGACACGUGGUAUCCUGUCUGAAUAUGGGGGGACCAUCCUCCAAGGCUAAAUACUCCUGACUGACCGAUAGUGAACCAGUACCGUGAGGGAAAGGCGAAAAGAACCCCGGCGAGGGGAGUGAAAAAGAACCUGAAACCGUGUACGUACAAGCAGUGGGAGCACGCUUAGGCGUGUGACUGCGUACCUUUUGUAUAAUGGGUCAGCGACUUAUAUUCUGUAGCAAGGUUAACCGAAUAGGGGAGCCGAAGGGAAACCGAGUCUUAACUGGGCGUUAAGUUGCAGGGUAUAGACCCGAAACCCGGUGAUCUAGCCAUGGGCAGGUUGAAGGUUGGGUAACACUAACUGGAGGACCGAACCGACUAAUGUUGAAAAAUUAGCGGAUGACUUGUGGCUGGGGGUGAAAGGCCAAUCAAACCGGGAGAUAGCUGGUUCUCCCCGAAAGCUAUUUAGGUAGCGCCUCGUGAAUUCAUCUCCGGGGGUAGAGCACUGUUUCGGCAAGGGGGUCAUCCCGACUUACCAACCCGAUGCAAACUGCGAAUACCGGAGAAUGUUAUCACGGGAGACACACGGCGGGUGCUAACGUCCGUCGUGAAGAGGGAAACAACCCAGACCGCCAGCUAAGGUCCCAAAGUCAUGGUUAAGUGGGAAACGAUGUGGGAAGGCCCAGACAGCCAGGAUGUUGGCUUAGAAGCAGCCAUCAUUUAAAGAAAGCGUAAUAGCUCACUGGUCGAGUCGGCCUGCGCGGAAGAUGUAACGGGGCUAAACCAUGCACCGAAGCUGCGGCAGCGACGCUUAUGCGUUGUUGGGUAGGGGAGCGUUCUGUAAGCCUGCGAAGGUGUGCUGUGAGGCAUGCUGGAGGUAUCAGAAGUGCGAAUGCUGACAUAAGUAACGAUAAAGCGGGUGAAAAGCCCGCUCGCCGGAAGACCAAGGGUUCCUGUCCAACGUUAAUCGGGGCAGGGUGAGUCGACCCCUAAGGCGAGGCCGAAAGGCGUAGUCGAUGGGAAACAGGUUAAUAUUCCUGUACUUGGUGUUACUGCGAAGGGGGGACGGAGAAGGCUAUGUUGGCCGGGCGACGGUUGUCCCGGUUUAAGCGUGUAGGCUGGUUUUCCAGGCAAAUCCGGAAAAUCAAGGCUGAGGCGUGAUGACGAGGCACUACGGUGCUGAAGCAACAAAUGCCCUGCUUCCAGGAAAAGCCUCUAAGCAUCAGGUAACAUCAAAUCGUACCCCAAACCGACACAGGUGGUCAGGUAGAGAAUACCAAGGCGCUUGAGAGAACUCGGGUGAAGGAACUAGGCAAAAUGGUGCCGUAACUUCGGGAGAAGGCACGCUGAUAUGUAGGUGAAGUCCCUCGCGGAUGGAGCUGAAAUCAGUCGAAGAUACCAGCUGGCUGCAACUGUUUAUUAAAAACACAGCACUGUGCAAACACGAAAGUGGACGUAUACGGUGUGACGCCUGCCCGGUGCCGGAAGGUUAAUUGAUGGGGUUAGCGCAAGCGAAGCUCUUGAUCGAAGCCCCGGUAAACGGCGGCCGUAACUAUAACGGUCCUAAGGUAGCGAAAUUCCUUGUCGGGUAAGUUCCGACCUGCACGAAUGGCGUAAUGAUGGCCAGGCUGUCUCCACCCGAGACUCAGUGAAAUUGAACUCGCUGUGAAGAUGCAGUGUACCCGCGGCAAGACGGAAAGACCCCGUGAACCUUUACUAUAGCUUGACACUGAACAUUGAGCCUUGAUGUGUAGGAUAGGUGGGAGGCUUUGAAGUGUGGACGCCAGUCUGCAUGGAGCCGACCUUGAAAUACCACCCUUUAAUGUUUGAUGUUCUAACGUGGACCCGUAAUCCGGGUUGCGGACAGUGUCUGGUGGGUAGUUUGACUGGGGCGGUCUCCUCCUAAAGAGUAACGGAGGAGCACGAAGGUUGGCUAAUCCUGGUCGGACAUCAGGAGGUUAGUGCAAUGGCAUAAGCCAGCUUGACUGCGAGCGUGACGGCGCGAGCAGGUGCGAAAGCAGGUCAUAGUGAUCCGGUGGUUCUGAAUGGAAGGGCCAUCGCUCAACGGAUAAAAGGUACUCCGGGGAUAACAGGCUGAUACCGCCCAAGAGUUCAUAUCGACGGCGGUGUUUGGCACCUCGAUGUCGGCUCAUCACAUCCUGGGGCUGAAGUAGGUCCCAAGGGUAUGGCUGUUCGCCAUUUAAAGUGGUACGCGAGCUGGGUUUAGAACGUCGUGAGACAGUUCGGUCCCUAUCUGCCGUGGGCGCUGGAGAACUGAGGGGGGCUGCUCCUAGUACGAGAGGACCGGAGUGGACGCAUCACUGGUGUUCGGGUUGUCAUGCCAAUGGCACUGCCCGGUAGCUAAAUGCGGAAGAGAUAAGUGCUGAAAGCAUCUAAGCACGAAACUUGCCCCGAGAUGAGUUCUCCCUGACCCUUUAAGGGUCCUGAAGGAACGUUGAAGACGACGACGUUGAUAGGCUGGGUGUGUAAGCGCAGCGAUGCGUUGAGCUAACCGGUACUAAUGAACCGUGAGGCUUAACCUUACAACGCCGAAGCUGUU